rnacentral:rRNA from 1 species
CCUACGGGAGGCAGCAGUAGGGAAUCUUCCACAAUCCUCGUGGACGAAAGUCUGAUGGAGCAACGCCGCGUGAGUGUUUAAAUCGAAGAAGGUUUUCGGAUCGUAAAACUCUGUUGUUGGAGAAGAACGUAUUUGAUAGUAACUGAUCAGGUAGUGACGGUAUCCAACCGUCAAUCCAGAAAGCCACGCU